rnacentral:rRNA from 1 species
GACGAACGCUGGCGGCGUGCCUAACACAUGCAAGUGGAGCGACGAACCGGGCUUCGGCCCGGGGCAAAGCCGCGAACGGGUGAGUAACACGUGGGUAACCUGCCCCGAUGACCGGGACAACUCGAGGAAACUCGGGCUAAUACCGGAUGUGCUCACGCCACAUCAGUGGUGUGAGCAAAGGUAAGCUUCGGCCUCCGCAUCGGGAUGGGCCCGCGGCCCAUUAGCUUGUUGGUGGGGAAU